rnacentral:lncRNA from 1 species
CUUCGGUGGACCUAUUGACCAAGGUACCCCUAGGAUGGGUAAGGCCAGCAGGUCAGUUUUAGGGAGGGGUUUUGCCGACAAGGGGCUUCAUACCCUGGGCAUCCAGCUGGGAUGCUCCCAGAGCAACCCUGAAAGCAUCUCUGUGUCUGAGAUGCUCUGGAGGAGAAGGCGUCGGUCACCUGGGUUAUGUGUCAGGCUGCCGGAGUAACAUUUAUAUUUUAUCAUGACAUUUUUUAAGAUACGAAGCCUAGGGAGGCAUGUCCAAGCCGUGUUGGAAAGAGGUGAUAAACACAGAAAAAUAAACAUAACUAUAUUUCAGUAAUGUCAAAAAAGUCCAGGAAGGGUUAUGGAGAGGCCUGGUCGUCUUAUGUCCUAUCACAACUCUCCACGCUGUAGAUCUGGGAAUUUAAAAGGAAAAACUUAUCCCCAGAGUUCCUUUUUCUUUCUUCCUUCUUUUCUUUUCUUUCUUCCUUUUUCUUUUUUCUUUUCUUUCCCUCCCUUCCUUCCUCUCUCUCUUUCUUUUCUUUUUUCUUUCUUUCUUUUCUUUCUUUCUUCCUUUCUUUCUCUCUUUCUUUCUGUCUGUCUGUCUUUCUCUCCCUCUCCCCCCUCCCCUUUCUUUCUUUCAGGAAGAAAUCUUUGCAGGCAGUGUCACACAGAGAGAAGGCUUGGUGUACAGCAGCUGUGUGGGUGCCCUCGUGUGAACCCCGCCCAGGGGUUCCUGCUGCCCGCACAGCUGGAGAGCUGCACCACCCUCAGAGGUCCUGGGUCCAAGCCCGCAGGCUGCAGCCGGCUGGAGAAGCAAGGACAGUGCCCUGAAAGCUGCAGUCAGGGGUCUUCUCAGGACACGGCUGGAAGGAAGGCGAGAACCCCUGGAUCUGAAUAGUCCGGAGCAGGCAUCAAGAUCCACUGUCAACAUUGCAAGGCUUGGAGCAGAUGGAGGGUCAUAUACCACAGGCCAAACUAUUUACAAGAGUUAAACUAAAAACUGGUAAGUAACAGAAGUUCUCUCCUUCUAUUUUUACCAUUAUUUUUUCAAAAUUGCUUGGAGUUAGGUUAUAAGAAAACAUGGAUAUGACCUUAGAUCCAGCAAUGGUUUCUUGAUGGUGACACCAAAGGCAGGAAGAAAGGCACAAAUAGAUACAUUUUACAUCACCAUAAAAAUGAAAUGCAGAGUUCCCUUCAUGGCUCCGUGGUUAACAAACCCGACUAGGAUCCAUGAGGAUGCAGAUUCGACCCCUGGCCUCGCUCAGUGGGUUAAGGAUCCAGCCUUGCCAUGAGCUAUGUUGUAGGUUCCAGCGUUGCUGUGGCUGUGGUGUAGGCUGGAAGCUUUAGCUCUGAUUUGACCCCUAGCCUGGGAACUUCCAUAUGCCACAGGUGCAGCCCUUAAAAAAAAAAAAAAAGAAAAAAAAAUUAAAUGCUUUCCUGCUCUGAAAGACACCAUCAAAAAAGUGAAAAGACAACUCACAGAACAGGAGAAUGUAUUUUCAACUUAUUUUUAAAAAUCUUACAACUCAGCAGUGAACAGACAACCCAUUUUUUAAAUGAAUGAAAAGUUGGAGCUAUUUGUACAAAGAACACAUACAAAUGGUCAAAAAACACAUUAAAGGAGGCCUCAACAUCAUUUGCCGUGAAGGAAAUACAAGCAAAACCAUGAUGAGGUACCAUUUCAUGUCCACUAGCACGGUUCUAGUCCAAAUAAGAGAUAAUAACAAGUGUUAAUGAAAUGUAGAAAAAUUGGAAUCCUCAUAUAUUACUGAUGGGAAUGGAAAAUGGUUCAGCCACUUUGGAAGAACAGUCCGGAAGUUCUUCAAAAGUAAAGUUUAGACUUAUCAUAUGACUCAGCAAUUCCAUUCCUUAGGUAUAUGCCCAAGAGAAUUGAAAACACAAGUCUACACAAAAACUCAUGUUCCUAGUAGCAUUAUUCAUAUUAACCAAAACCUGGAAAUAACCAAAUGCCCAUCAACUGAUGAAUGGGUGAACAAAAUGUGGUACAGUGGAAUGUUAUUCAGACUUUAUUGAAUUACUGAUGUAUAUUCCAACAUGGAUAAACCUUAAAAAUAUUAUACUAAGCGAAAGAGAAGCCAGUCACCAAACCCCCCUCAUAUUUCAUUUGUAUAUGUCCAAGAACAGGCAAAUCCAUAGAGACAGAAAGAUUGGUGGUUACUGGGAAUGUGAGGAAAUGUCUGGAAUUAGACAAUGAUUAUGGUUGUAAAAGUUCAUGAGUUUAGUGAAACCUAUGGAAUUUUACACUUUGAAAGGGUGAAUUCAUACAUAGCAUUGAGAACUAUGUCUAGAUACUUAUGUUGCAACAGAACAAAGGGUGGGGAAAAAAAUGUAUACAUGUAAGGAUAACUUGAUUCCCUUGCUGUACAGUGGGAAAAAAUAAAUAAUAAAAAAAGAAAGGGUGAAUUUUAAAG